GACAGUGUGGCAUAGUGGUUUGGAUGUUAGACUACAACUCUGGGGACCUGGGUUCAAUUCCCUGCUCUGCCA